AUGGCGUCGCAGGAAGAACCGAGAGGAUCUCGUCAGGGCAAGGAACCUGUGGAAGAGCUCCUGAGCCGGUUGGAACUGCAGGAAGAUGAAGAGGAUCACUUCGUCUGGGAGGAGGAAUUCAAAGAGGAGAAGAUCGAAUCCAAGUGGCUUGCGAUCGCGAAGGUACACACUGAAAAGAGUUUCAGUCCCUCCGCUCUCUAUGCCGAUAUGAGAUCAGUCUGGAACCCAGCAAAGCCGGUUCGCUGGCGCAGGGUGGAUGAGAAUCUUUUUACAGUUCAAUUUGGAUGCUUGGGUGAUUGGAAUACUGCCAUGAAUUUGGGGCCAUGGCUGUUUAGGAACCAAGGGCUUCUAAUAGCUGAGUAUGAUGGAUUUAUGAACCCGAAAUCGAUCGUUCUGAAUACAAUAACUGUUUGGGCUAGGAUCCUCAAGUUGCGACAACUAUCUCUUCCCGGCUGCAAUUAUGGGCAUGUGUAG
rnacentral:rRNA from 1 species